UAAUUUUGCCAACCAAUCAUAUUCAAAUUUUUUUUUGCUCUUUUCACAUUUUUCAAUGUUUCCAUAUUUUAAUAGAAUUAAUAGUUUAUUUUAAUAAUUUUUUAAUGGUUUGGGGAUGGAUGGAUGGACAAUUCGAGAAGGUUGCAGGUGGAUAGAUGAUUCGAUGAUUCGAGAAGGUUGCGGAUGGAUAGAGAAAGUGAGAAGGUUGUGGAUGGAUGAUUCAAAAUAUUUGAUAUUUUGGUCGCAAAUGCAUCUGUCAUGGAUCCCUCGAUCCUUCCGCAUGGCGAUCAUUAGAGUUUUUCCGAUACUAGGCUCUAUAAAAAAUAUAUAAUCUACGCAAUAAUAAUAAUUUGCCCUCUAAGUCUUCGAAUUGGCUCAAUUUGCAAGUUCACAGAUUUGGUUGGUGAAAUCCUGGUGCUCGUUUCCAAUCUUGCGAGAUCGAUGGCUUAAGGGAAUCAAUCCGGCCAGUUUUUCUCUAGCAGGCAUGACUGGACAUGGUGAAAACUGAACAUUUAUUUUCAAAGUUGGCUUAAGUUUUGGGGAAAAUUGAUGCAACUGGCAGCUGCAUGGCUAAUUUUAGGGGCAAAUUGUAGGAGGAGCAGUAAUAUGGUGUGGUUUUGCAAAUGCAGAGCGGUAUUGGAGUCAUUUACACUGGUCUGUCAGAAUUCAAACAAAACUAAUCAAGUAUGAGGCAAAUUCUGGCUAGAUUGAAGGUUUUGUUGAUUUGAUUUGCAUUUUGUUGUGUUGUGGCUCAAUUAGUCAUGGUAUGAAAAUGCUUACUGAGUUUGGCUGCAAACUAACCAAUCAAGUUUUGUUUUCAUACAACUACCUUUAGGCCAGUGUUCUACAUGGAUACACCCUGGGGUAUGGUGACAUAAAGACAUCCUAAGGACAUGGGGAAUUUCAGGUAUACAUUUCAGAGACUAUUCAGUAGGAUUCCUAAAAUUAAGCAACCCACUCGCGAAUCUCUCUCUCCCUCUCUCUAAUAUUAAAUUAUGCAAAAUAGGAAGAAUUACAGAUAGUUCCAGCAGUCACAAACAGCAGCUAGAAAAUAGUCAAACAAAGCUGUUGUAGGAAAAUAGAGAGACUUAAAUCCAAGACCUUGAAGUCAGCCACCUGCAGUAAGUCAUCGCAGAUUCACCCACAGUAUAUAUUUCCAAAACAGAUCAAGCACAGAUGCAUGAGACACCCAAGUGCAGACGAAUACAAAAAGACAACCCAAAGAGGAUAGCAUUCUUAAUAGCCCAGGUAAUAGAUCUCCUUAUCUGGGGACUGCUAUGAUAUCUAGAGACUACAAAUCUUUCAUUCAGAUUGUAUUCCAUAACAAUGAGGACACAGACACAAUCCAAUCAUGGCUUUUGGAUGAAUACUCCUUCUUUGUAGUAGGGUAAGUUACCAAUUCGAGUUGAGAGAUGCUCCAGCCAAUUUUCAGGCUUCGUAAAGAUCCUCUAGACACAAUGUUUCUAAAAGUCUCCCUCCGAGGCUAAAACCUAAUGCACAGAAAGAUUUCGCCACCUGUUCUUUUUGACACUGUUCUGAUAAGCAUGCAAGAAAAAUGUCAUUCAGUAAAGAGUACACGUGGAAUUUGAAAGUAAA